UCAAUUUUGCCCCUCGCUGGCUCACUCGCUUCACUCACUCGUUCCCCACUCUCUCGUCCAAAUCCCUAGCUCGCCUCGCUCCGCUGCUCGCGUCGCCGCCGCUCGCCUCUCUUGCUCGCGUCGCCGCCGCCAUCUCGCCCGCGUCGACGUCGACGCUCGCCUCCACCCCACACGCGUCGCCGCCGCCGCCUUCCUGUGACGUCUUCGCCGCUCCCUCUCACCCGCGUCGCCUGCACCAGCGAGGUCGCCACAAGAUUGUUUUUGUUACCAAAGCGGAGGCGAGGAGCAGCUGGUGAGUUGUACCCAUGGCUGGAUCUGAAGUGUCUGGACGUCCCCGCGAUGAGGAUGAGUGGGAGGAGCAAGAGCACAUCUGAAGAUGGUGAGGAGUGGAGGCGGCGGUUCUGAAUUUGAAGAUGGUGCUGUGAGGAGUAGCGGGAGGAGCAGUCGUCGACGGCCUGGCUGCAUGGGGUACGCCCUCCCCUUCGUCUCCUACGGCAUCGUGGACAUCCUGCUCGACGACGUACAUCUGCUCGAGGAUAUCCUGCUCGACGAUGCUCCUCUUCGCCAGCAUCUCUAGCGCGUGACUGAUACAGAAGCAAAGUGUUUCAAGGCACAUAGGUCCAGUGAUGAGAGUGGUAGUUUCAGAAAAGAUACUGAAGCUAAUUCAAGAAAUACUACUAAGGCUGUUGGUCAAAAUCCCCCACCACCAAAGCAAGGUUUCAUCCAUGUGAGGGCAAGAAGGGGUCAAGCAACUGACAGCCAUAGCCUUGCAGAAACGGCAGAUGAAGGCCGUCGAAGAUCACAAGCGCAGCUUGCUAUUGUACAGGUUUAGAAUUUAGAAAGGUGACCUAUUUUUUCAUGUGAACUUACCUAUUCUUUGCUAUUCAGAAUGAUUAUUUAUCUUCCCAUUGCUGUGUUAAUUGAUUCAUAUGCGGUUCUGCUAUUCUGACAAGGAUAUCCAUCAAGGUUAUUUGGAGGGACAUAAUGAAACGUCACAAGUUCUACUUUGCUGAUUCUUUCAGAGAAUUGUUUCAUUACAAAUGCGCUGUCGCGGACAUGUAUUAAUCCCAAAUUCCAAAUCACUCUGGAAUCCAGUCAAAAUCCAGUCAAAAUCACUCUGGAAUCCUUCUCCGUAAUUGAUUCGCAAACUACUCUCAAGGACUGCUCUGAACCUCAAAUAUCGUGGGCACAUGAAGUUGUGGUGUGAUUUUUACAGAAACAAGUGAUCCAGGCAGCAAGGCAGAUGAAGGCCGUCGAAGAUCACAAGCGCAGCUUGCUAUUGUACAGGUUUAGAAUUUAGAAAGGUGACCUAUUUUUUCAUGUGAACUUACCUAUUCUUUGCUAUUCAGAAUGAUUAUUUAUCUUCCCAUUGCUGUGUUAAUUGAUUCAUAUGCGGUUCUGCUAUUCUGACAAGGAUAUCCAUCAAGGUUAUUUGGAGGGACAUAAUGAAACGUUACAAGUUCUACUUUGCUGAUUCUUUCAGAGAAUUGUUUCAUUACAAAUGCGCUGUCGCGGACAUGUAUUAAUCCCAAAUUCCAAAUCACUCUGGAAUCCAGUCAAAAUCCAGUCAAAAUCACUCUGGAAUCCUUCUCCGUAAUUGAUUCGCAAACUACUCUCAAGGACUGCUCUGAACCUCAAAUAUCGUGGGCACAUGAAGUUGUGGUGUAAUUUUUACAGAAACAAGUGAUCCAGGCAGCAAGGUAUUGAUUGAUGCAACUAUGUUGUAAUGUUUCAGUGACUGUUAAUAUUUUUUUAGGAAGGAUAACCAAUUCAGAUGAUACCCAAGGAGUUUUGGAUGGGAGAUUGUUGUAGGGGUACGUAGCAGAAAAUAAAAUUUUUCCUAUGGUUUCACCAAGAUC